UACGGAGGGUGCAAGCGUUAAUCGGAAUUACUGGGCGUAAAGCGCACGCAGGCGGUCUGUUAAGUCAGAUGUGAAAUCCCCGGGCUCAACCCGGGAACUGCAUUUGAAACUGGCAGGCUUGAGUCUUGUAGAGGGGGGUAGAAUUCCAGGUGUAGCGGUGAAAUGCGUAGAGAUCUGGAGGAAUACCGGUGGCGAAGGCGGCCCCCUGGACAAAGACUGACGCUCAUGCACGAAAGCGUGGGGAGCAAACAGG
rnacentral:rRNA from 1 species